GCAGGCGCGAAGGGCGACGGGCCGGCGAUCGGCAUCGACCUCGGGACGACCUACUCCUGCGUGGCCGUGUGGCGGCCGGUGCACCAACGUGUGGAGGUCAUCGCCAACGACCAGGGCAACCUCACCACGCCGUCUUGUGUCGCCUUCAUCAACGCAUGGAGGCUUGUCGGCGAUGCAGCCGUGAACCAGGCCGACAUGAACCCCGGCAACACAGUUUUCGACGCAAAGCGACUGAUCGGUCGACGAUUCAGCGAAGAGUCAGUACAAGGAGAUAUGAAGUUGUGGCCUUUCAAAGUCAUUUCCGGCCCCAGUGAUCGGCCCAUGAUUGCGGUGCAGUACAUGGGCGAGGAGAAGCAGUUCGCAGCUGAAGAAAUCUCCUCCAUGGUGCUUGUCAAGAUGAGGGAGACAGCCGAGGUCUACCUCGAAACCACCGUAAAGGAUGCUGUGAUCACUGUCCCGGUCUACUUCAAUGACUCGCAGCGCCAGGCCACCCUUGAUGCCGGCACCAUUGCUGGUCUCAACGUCAUACGUAUCAUCAACGAGCCCUCUGCCGCAGCCAUUGCCUACCGACUAGACGAUACGUUGGUUACUGGCGAAGCAAAGACGGUGCUCAUAUUUGAUUUCGGUGGUGGCACCUUGGAUAUCUCUGUCAUCCACAUUGACAAAGGCACCUUUACAGUCAAGGCCACGUCCGGGGACACCCACCUUGGAGGGGUGGAUCUUAACAACAAAAUGAUGGAACACUUUGUGCAGGAAUUCUUGAAGAAACACAAGAGUAACAUCAGUGGCAGUCCGAGGGCUCUGAUGCGGCUUAAGACGGCCUGCGAGAGGGCCAAGAGGAUGCUGUCUUCUACGGCGCAGGCCAAGUUUGAGAUCGACUCGCUCCAUGACGACAUUGACUUCUAUGGGACCAUCACCCGCGCCCGGUUCGAGGAGCUCAACAUGGACCUCUUUUGCAAGUGCAUUGAGCAUGUGGAGAAGUGCCUCGGCGACGCCAAGAUGGACAAGUCACAGAUCCACGACGUCGUGCUCGUCGGCGGCUCCACCAAGAUCCCCAAGGUGCAGCAGAUGCUGCAGGAUUUCUUUGACGGGAAGAAACUCUGCAAGAAAAUCAAUCCGGAUGAGGCCGUCGCCUACGGCGCUGCUAUUCAGGCCGCCAUCCUCAACGGCGAGUACGAUCAGAAGGUGGUGGUCCUUCUCGACGUCACGCCGCUGUCUCUUGGGAUAGAGACGGUCGGUGGUGUCAUGAGCGUGGUGAUACCCAGGAACACCACCAUCCCCGUUAUGAUGGAGGGGCCUUACACGACCGAAUAUGACAACCAGACCACCGCGGGCAUAUAUGUGUACGAGGGUGAAGGGGCAUUGACCAUGGACAACAAGCUUCUGGGCAACUUCACGCUCACUGGCAUCCCUCCAGCGCCAAGGCUCAUGCCAAAGCUCAAAGUGACAUUCGAAAUCGAUACAAAUGGUGUCCUAACGGUGGUGGCUGAGGACAGGACGAGCGGAAACAAGAACUGCAUCACGAUCAUCAACAACAAGGGUGGGUUGAGCAAGGAAGAGAUCGAGCGGAUGGUGCGUGACGCCAACAAAUAC
rnacentral:rRNA from 1 species